rfam:Lactobacillus saerimneri 30a contig00033, whole genome shotgun sequence.
UGCGAUGAGUCGAGAGGGAUCAGGCAAUACAUUGAGUAUUGUUUUGCUGCGGCAACUAGUGAUUAAACUUUUGAUAAGCGGGGCACAUUAGUCACCGGAUUGUGACGUGUCUGUAGAUUAGUGUUGUGGAGCAC